CGCAAUGGGCGAAAGCCUGACGGAGCAAGACCGCGUGGGGGAGGAAGGUUCUUGGAUUGUCAACCCCUUUUCUCAGGGAAGAAGAAAGUGACGGUACCUGAGGAAGAAGCAUCGGCUAACUCCGUGCCAGCAGCCGCGGUAAUACGGGGGCCCCAAGCGUUAUCCGGAAUUAUUGGGCGUAAAGGGUGUGUAGGCGGUUCUAUUAGUCUUCUGUAAAAUUCUUCGGCUUAACCGGGGACUUGCAGAGGAAACGGUAGAACUUGAGGAUGCGAGGGGUUUGCGGAACUCAUAGUGUAGGGGUGAAAUCCGUUGAUAUUAUGGGGAACACCAAAAGCGAAGGCAGCAAACUGGCGCACUCCUGACGCUGAAACACGAAAGCGU
rnacentral:rRNA from 1 species